rnacentral:misc_RNA from 1 species
AACUGAUACUACCUGCGGGAACCUGCGGAAGGAUCAUUACCGAGUUUACAACUCCCAAACCCAUGUGAACAUACCUGUCUUGUUGCUUCGGCGGCGCCCACGGCCCUCACGGGCUUGGGGCCCGCCAGAGGACCCAAACAAAACUCUUUGCAUUUUGAAUACAGUAUUCUGAGUGACAUGAUUAAAUAAAAUCAAAACUUUUAGCAAUGGAUCUCU